rnacentral:misc_RNA from 1 species
GCAAACUUGGUCAUUUAGAGGAAGUAAAAGUCGUAACAAGGUUUCCGUAGGUGAACCUGCGGAAGGAUCAUUAAUGAAUUACAAAAGCUUUUGAAGUUGUUUUGCUGGUCUCUAGGGACAUUGUGCACGCUUCAUUAGUUUCCACUUCAUACCCCUGUGCACCUUUGAUAGAUUUCGGUUUGGGUUAUCCUUUGGUUUUUUUUCUUAAUUGAAAGGCCUUUGGUUUCCUUAAAACGACUUCUAUACUAUACCACACACCAAAUGUAUGUUUUAUAAUGAAUGGUUUAUAAUGACAAGGCCAUGAGCCUUAUAAACUUAAUACAACUUUCAACAACGGAUCUCUUGGCUCUCGCAUCGAUGAAGAACGCAGC